AGCGAACGCUGGCGGCAGGCUUAACACAUGCAAGUCGAGCGGACCUUUCGGGGUCAGCGGCGGACGGGUGAGUAACGCGUGGGAACGUGCCUUCCGGUUCGGAAUAACCCUGGGAAACUGGGGCUAAUACCGGAUACGCCCUUAUGGGGAAAGGUUUACUGCCGGAAGAUCGGCCCGCGUCUGAUUAGCUAGUUGGUGGGGUAACGGCCUACCAAGGCGACGAUCAUUAGCUGGUCUGAGAGGAUGAUCAGCCACACUGGGACUGAGACACGGCCCAGACUCCUACGGGAGGCAGCAGUGGGGAAUAUUGGACAAUGGGCGCAAGCCUGAUCCAGCCAUGCCGCGUGAGUGAUGAAGGCCUUAGGGUUGUAAAGCUCUUUUAUCCGGGACGAUAAUGACGGUACCGGAGGAAUAAGCCCCGGCUAACUUCGUG
rnacentral:rRNA from 1 species